GGGCGGCUCGGGCCGCGGCGCUGGCGGGGGAGCGGGAGCGGCGGCAGCCGCGCCGCUGUGAUGAGUCAUGCGAAGGCAGCCAGACGCGUAGGUUCAUCACAGGAACCCGGAGGAAACCUGAGCGCACAUCGCUUGUUACCUAAUCCCUGCCUCCUUCGGGGCUUCCCUGGAGCUUCCGCCGCCGCCGUCGGCGCCUCCGCGGCUGCCGGAGGGUGCGCGGGGCCGGGGCGGCAGCGGGGGGCGGCCCGGGCUCACCCCGCCGUGAGGGGACGCCGCUGUCCCGCCAAGCCGGGGCCAGGAGCAGCCGCGGAGAGCGGGUUUGACAUCGGAGCGUGUUUGCGUGAGGGGAGCUGGCCAUGAGAAAGGAAGAGGGCAAGAGCUCGGUGCCAGCUCCCCCCUCCUCCCGCACUGCAAUACGUAGGAAGCCUUUAUUCCCAAACGGGAGCGUUUGCUUGCUGACAUCACAUGCGCCACGAACAAAAGAGAUCCUGAUUACAGCCUGAAAUGAAAUGAAGAACAUGGAAGUCAGAGCUAUGCAGCAGUUUGGUUCAAGCCUGAGUCAUGGUAAAAUAUUCCCACUUACUGAGACAGAAACAUAAAAUUAUUGUGCUGGAUUAAAUCCUUUGUCCUUCAGAUCCAGUCUUUCAUCUCUGUUGUUGCCACUACAGGAUAAAUGAGAAGUUCAAAGCAGAGCUUUGAUUGUCCUUGACCAAGGACUUUGCAGCAGGUGAGGGCUAAAGCCCCACUCUGGUGUAGCACUGAAAGCUGCAUUUCUCUUCCAGCAUCCACUGCUUGUGUCCUGCUCUGAGCCUGUGGUGAGCACAGUGCUGCAUCCACCUCCUUAAAAUUCAGGUUUUUAACAUUCCACUUUGGAAUCACUGCUGCUUCUCCUCCUCUGUCCGUGGCCGUUUCCGAGGGUUCAUCUCAGUCCCUUCUGUGCUGUGAGUGACAGCUGGAGGCUGCACAUCUCGGAAGCCAUGGGACUGGAAGAUGGAAGGAAAAGCAUGAGCUAAGGCUUGUAGGGAUAGAAAGCAUGAGUAACCAGUUCCCAGAAGAUCAGAAUGAGAGAUGAUGCUGCCAUUUAUGUUUAUAGACCAGGUUAAGCUCAGCACUGCAUACUUUACAACACAUGUGCCUCAUUUUGUUUUUUAAAGAUAUUUUAUUUUCACCAACUAGGCUAUCACUUUCAUUUUACUGUUUAUCACCCCUAUGGCUAUGAAAAACUGCUUCUCUGUAAAUUAACUUAUGUUGCCUAUUUAAAUAAAUCAAAAGACAAAUCCAUCAGCUCCCACAGAAGCAAGGAGA